GGCGUGCUUAACACAUGCAAGUCGAACGGUGAACACGGAGCUUGCUCUGUGGGAUCAGUGGCGAACGGGUGAGUAACACGUGAGCAACCUGCCCCUGACUCUGGGAUAAGCGCUGGAAACGGCGUCUAAUACUGGAUACGAGUAGCGGCCGCAUGGUCAGUUACUGGAAAGAUUUAUUGGUUGGGGAUGGGCUCGCGGCCUAUCAGCUUGUUGGUGAGGUAAUGGCUCACCAAGGCGUCGACGGGUAGCCGGCCUGAGAGGGUGACCGGCCACACUGGGACUGAGACACGGCCCAGACUCCUACGGGAGGCAGCAGUGGGGAAUAUUGCACAAUGGGCGGAAGCCUGAUGCAGCAACGCCGCGUGAGGGAUGACGGCCUUCGGGUUGUAAACCUCUUUUAGCAGGGAAGAAGCGAAAGUGACGGUACCUGCAGAAAAAGCACCGGCUAACUACGUGCCAGCAGCCGCGGUAAUACGUAGGGUGCAAGCGUUAUCCGGAAUUAUUGGGCGUAAAGAGCUCGUAGGCGGUUUGUCGCGUCUGCUGUGAAAUCCGGAGGCUCAACCUCCGGCCUGCAGUGGGUACGGGCAGACUAGAGUGCGGUAGGGGAGAUUGGAAUUCCUGGUGUAGCGGUGGAAUGCGCAGAUAUCAGGAGGAACACCGAUGGCGAAGGCAGAUCUCUGGGCCGUUACUGACGCUGAGGAGCGAAAGGGUGGGGAGCAAACAGGCUUAGAUACCCUGGUAGUCCACCCCGUAAACGUUGGGAACUAGUUGUGGGGUCCAUUCCACGGAUUCCGUGACGCAGCUAACGCAUUAAGUUCCCCGCCUGGGGAGUACGGCCGCAAGGCUAAAACUCAAAGGAAUUGACGGGGACCCGCACAAGCGGCGGAGCAUGCGGAUUAAUUCGAUGCAACGCGAAGAACCUUACCAAGGCUUGACAUAUACGAGAACGGGCC
rnacentral:rRNA from 1 species